rnacentral:rRNA from 1 species
UACGUAGGGGGGCAAGCGUUGUCCGGAUUUAUUGGGCGUAAAGAGCGUGUAGGCGGUUUGGUAGGUCCGCUGUGAAAACUCGAGGCUCAACCUCGAGACGCCGGUGGAAACCAUCAGGCUAGAGUCCGGAAGAGGAGAGUGGAAUUCCUGGUGUAGCGGUGAAAUGCGCAGAUAUCAGGAAGAACACCCGUGGCUAAGGCGGCUCUCUAGUACGGUACUGACGCUGAGACGCGAAAGCAUGGGGAGCGAACAGGG